rnacentral:rRNA from 1 species
GACAGAGGGUGCAAACGUUGUUCGGAAUUACUGGGCGUAAAGCGAGUGUAGGCGGUCCGAUAAGUCGGGUGUGAAAGCCCUGGGCUCAACCCAGGAAGUGCACUCGAAACUGACGGGCUAGAGUAUCGGAGAGGUUGGUGGAAUUCUCGGUGUAGAGGUGAAAUUCGUAGAUAUCGAGAGGAACACCGGUGGCGAAGGCGGCCAACUGGGCGAAUACUGACGCUGAGACUCGAAAGCGUGGGGAGCAAACAGG